rnacentral:rRNA from 1 species
GAUGAACGCUGGCGGCGUGCCUAAUACAUGCAAGUCGAGCGAACAGACGAGGAGCUUGCUCCUCUGACGUUAGCGGCGGACGGGUGAGUAACACGUGGAUAACCUACCUAUAAGACUGGGAUAACUUCGGGAAACCGGAGCUAAUACCGGAUAAUAUAUUGAACCGCAUGGUUCAAUAGUGAAAGACGGUUUUGCUGUCACUUAUAGAUGGAUCCGCGCCGCAUUAGCUAGUUGGUAAGGUAACGGCUUACCAAGGCAACGAUGCGUAGCCGACCUGAGAGGGUGAUCGGCCACACUGGAACUGAGACACGGUCCAGACUCCUACGGGAGGCAGCAGUAGGGAAUCUUCCGCAAUGGGCGAAAGCCUGACGGAGCAACGCCGCGUGAGUGAUGAAGGUCUUCGGAUCGUAAAACUCUGAUAUUAGGGAAGAACAAAUGUGUAAGUAACUAUGCACGUCUUGACGGUACCUAAUCAGAAAGCCACGGCUAACUACGU